rnacentral:rRNA from 1 species
GGAAACCUGCGGAAGGAUCAUAG